ensembl:lncRNA
AUGUCCCAAAACAAUCAUGGAGGAAAAAAUCAAGGCUUCACUGAGCAAAAUGCAACAAAGGAUCUGGGGAGGCAAAAUACAAAGAUGUGUUUCAAAGAGAAGCCUGAAGCCUGGGGUUCAUUGCAUAUUGAAGAUUCCUUUGCCAUGGUAGUCUUUGUGAUGAAAACACCGCACUUGAAAAUACAUGGAAACAGAGCAAGAAAUGAAGAAAAGUCUCACAGUGCCAGUCCUAGCCGCAGAGUAUAAGCAUCCACUUCAAAGCCAUCUACUGUACCUGCAACUACACAGUAACAGCUUUUUACAACCCAAAUAAGGAAUCUUGUGACUACUUGGAAGAUUAGUGACCAAAGAUCUCAUCACAUGGAGUCCAUAAGCCAGGAGACAGUGGAGGAAUCUGUGGGGCAGUAGGUGGAACCACCAGACAACUCCCCUCAAUGUCCCCUUACCAUCCCACACCAUUUCCCAUCUGCCCCCGGCUUCCAACCCCACUGUCCACAGCUUAGUCUAUGUGAACACUUGUUCUCAGGGCUGUGUCUUAGCUUCAGCUGUUUCCUGUAAUUAUAUAUUUAAACUGUCAGAUGACCACUAAUGGCUGCUCACACUAUAGAAUCCACAAUCAGCACGUAGAUACUGCGAAAAUGUGAGUAGACAAUUGUGACUAUUAUGCCUGGGAGUAAACACUAUGCUAAAUAUAGCAUUUGUUGAUAUGUCUAUUUUCACCUGGUCUAUAUAAAUCAUAUGUGAUAUCUUAUAAAGAGCACUGUAUUAGACCAUUUUCCUUUUAUCUUUUUAAGAAAACUUGAAGCUGAGCCAACAAUACAAAUAUUCAAAACAUUGCCGCUUACCAGAUGAAGGGUUAACUGAAACUGGAGUAAACCUGGGAACCAGUAGUAAAUGGCUUAUGUAAACAGCUUACUUCGGCUCACAGCCAGCCACUUUAAAAUAACAACUAUCUGACCGAGCUUCCUGGCUGGGAACUGUAAAUGACUGCAACAUUUGUUACAAACUGAAUCUACAGCCAAUUGACUGCAUUUACAUCCUGAGGAGUCCUAUAGAAUUACUCCAAGACUACAGAGACUUUGAUUUGUUUUGACUCCAAGCCAGGUUUGAGCCAAUUGAAUUGUACAUGGAUAUAAUUAGUUUUACAGCAUAUUAUAUGCCAUUUUGAAGAGACUGAAUAUACACAUACUGUGUUGCUAACAAACUUUAGUUGGAGUCUUGUUGAUACAUGUCUGAUAUAUGUUUUACACUGAAAACUGCUCUGUGUAGCAAUUAAAUCUGGAUGAUUGCAGUCUAAAAAACUUUAUAUUCUUUAAGUUACGACUGUGUGCCACUACAGCUGACAGAAUUGGAUCAUCAGUUGUAUUAUUAUUUGUAUUAUUGUUAACAUUAUUAUUUAUAUGAUGCUCUAAUAUACAUAUUGUGUUCUAUGUUUUGAACCUUUACUGUGGUGCAUAUUUUUCAGAUAUAGCUAUUACAGAUAGGCAACAACCAUUGAGGGCUGCAAUAUCAAUGGCUAUACUACUAUACAAAAUCCCAGAAUACUUGUAAAGUAUCUACACAAACACAAGAUGGUCUAUGUACAAAGAAAAUAUGUCCAAAUAGCAUAUAGUAUUAUUAAAGUUCCCCGUACAAAGCUCAGUUUGGUAGUACCAGACAAAAUGAAAAGGAGCAACACCUCUAACACAAAAAAUAUCCAAGUCCGAUAUUGGUUCCAAUGCAUAUAGGCUUCAGGGAUACAUAAUCAAUGAAAAUAUCUUCCAAACAAAGUAAACAGACGGUUGGUCAUGUUGCUGUAUAUUGGAAUGAAGAAAAUAAUGAUGGAGCACUGCUCUCAAGAAAGUCUUCGCAAGUAAAGUCCAAAUAAAGUCCCAAGUCUACAGGGGUUCCCAGGUAUUUUUGUACCCUGUUUCAAGGAGAAAAUCCCCUUCUUCAGGAGUUGGUAUACUCAGCAACAAUGAACUUAUUUCUAAAACAAAACAUAGAGUAACAAGUAUUUUACCAGCAGUAUCUUUCAAUAAAAUUAUUAUUAAAAAAAGAAACACGUUGGAGGUGCAUGUGCACACAUAUGAAAUGUAAAAACAUCAGUGCAAUAUUUUUUAAAGAUGUUAACAUUGUAACAGCUAUCCUGAUGAAACAGAAGGUUACAUUGACUAUGCUUGGCACUAGGGUGCAUGAAAAUUACUAUGAACCCAGAUUAUGCCAGGUUUGCAUCAAAGGGCUAGAAUUGAUGUGAAGAUAGUUGCACAUUGUAUGCUGCCAAUGCAAGCCCUUCACACAUUUUGCUAUAAUCAUUAUGAAUCAAAUCAUUUGUCUUUUAUUGAUGAUAUCAUUUCUGUUCAAAAUGUGAAGAAAGAGCAAUUUUACAGGGGCCUGGAGAUCUGCGUGAUCAUUAUAUACCUUGAUUACUGAUUGUUUUAUGAAGGCAUAUUCCAAGGAAAAUGUCAUACUCAUUUAAAUCUCAGUUUCUUUUAUAAUCACAAAAAUGAUAACUUGACACAAGAUACUUUCUCUCUACACAUAUAAUUUCUUCAACAUUCAGAAUACUUAUAUUUCACAAAUAACCUUGUCAUAUACUCCUCCUACUGAAAGUUUAAGUCUGAAUUAGGCCUCAGUCUCAAACUUAUUAUAGACAUAAAGCCUAAGCAAGGGGGAAUUGAUGCUUCUAAGCAAGUAUAUAUUACAUCCUCUCUCCCAUGUAGAUUCAGCUAUCAAAUGUUCAUAUUCAUUUGUGUACACAGAGGCACAAAAAGCUAAAGUGCCACUAUCUCAGUCACCCAUGCAAACAAGCUGAACACAUUAAAGUUUUCUUGAGAAUUAUUUAUUGCUUGUGCAUAAAAUUGUUAAGGCAGCAGAUCUCUUUAUAGCCAUUUUAAAAUCAAUUUUAAAACAUACACCCCAGAGGAAGAGGGGAAUAGGGAAGGGUGGCUCCUUACACUAAGGAGGAAUCCUAGAACUAGAAGACACCACAUGGGACAUGCAGGAAAAGCAUAAUCAAAGCACCCCUGACACAUGGCCAUCCAGCCUCUGCUUAAAAGCCCCCAAAGAAGGAUCCUUGUGGACCAUAUUUUAGUUCUUGCGGAUCAUUAGUGGUCUGCUGACCACAGGUUGAGAACCACUGAUCUAGGGUGAUUGUGGAGAUGUGGCAGGGAGAAAUAUUUAUAUUCCACCGCUGCCACCAAAUUGUGGAGAUGUGGGGUAGAGGAGGAAUCUCUUUAUUAAUUAUAUUAUUAUAUUUUUAACUAUAUCCGCUGCCACCAAUAUAAAUAUGUUUUAUCUAACUGCUGCCACCAAUUGUGGAGAUGUCAGGCAGAAGGGAAUUUAUCUUCUUUAUUCUUCUUAUUUACUUUAGAUGGUAUCAUAACUUAGUUUUGAAUAUAGUGGACAGAGACUUGGAUAUCGAAGAACAAAAACAAGUUUAUUUCAGGGACAGAGCUUAGUGGUUACAGUAACUUCUUUAUAGGCACUUAGAUAAUGGUUGCAAAGAUUUUAACUGAUCACUUUGGAUCCAACUGUGAUUGCUUUCCCUUACUACUCAGACUCUACACAUAAACUCAAACAAGUCACCUAACUUGCUUAAUUUAACACAACUAGAGAUCUGAGUUUCCCUGGUUUCCCUAACCUGGAACCAGUGUCUUCUCUGUGACUAAAAAUCACAGACUAAACUGUUUUUUAAAACAUUCCCUCCUUUUCCUUCAAACGGCAGUUGGCUCCGCCCUCGUUACUAUGGUAACCUGCCUCAGAAUGCUGAGCUGGUUACCAUCCCCCACGCACUGGUAACUAAUACUUACCCUUUUAAACAUAUUUAAACAUGACUUU